rnacentral:rRNA from 1 species
CCUACGGGAGGCAGCAGUGAGGAAUAUUGGUCAAUGGGCGCAAGCCUGAACCAGCCAAGUCGCGUGAGGGAUGACGGUCCUAUGGAUUGUAAACCUCUUUUGUCGGGGAGCAAAGCGCGGUACGAGUACCGUGAAGGAGAGUACCCGAAGAAAAAGCAUCGGCUAACUCCGUGCCAGCAGCCGCGGUAAUACGUAGGGUGCAAGCGUUAUCCGGAUUUAUUGGGCGUAAAGGGCUCGUAGGCGGUUCGUCGCGUCCGGUGUGAAAGUCCAUGGCUUAACGGUGGAUCCGCGCCGGGUACGGGCGGGCUUGGGUGCGGUAGGGGAGACUGGAAUUCCCGGUGUAACGGUGGAAUGUGUAGAUAUCGGGAAGAACACCAAUGGCGAAGGCAGGUCUCUGGGCCGUUACUGACGCUGAGGAGCGAAAGCGUGGGGAGCGAACAGGAUUAGAUACCCGGGUAGUC